AACAGACUUAACCCCUCAACAGACUCAACCCCUCUCUCUCCCUCAGACUCAACCCCUCUCUCCCUCAACAGACUCAAGCCUUCUUCAGAUUUCUCCACUCCCUCAAGACUUACAUCCCCCAUUACACAAUUAAUGAUGUUAUUUCAUUGAUCCUCUCCUCUCUGUUCUCGUCAAGGUCACGACCCGGCAUAUCUUCCUUAAAGAAGAGAAGAAGAGCGGGAAGAAAACGUUCUUCCUCUUUCUUCAGUCUUCAAAAAGAAGCUGCGUCCAAUCAGAUCCUUUCAACCCCUAAUUAACCCUCUCUUUGUUCACCGAGCUCCCAGCUAAUGAAAUUAGACCAGAAGAAGAACGGUCCGGAACAUUCUCAGCACACAGGCAGGCACACCAUGAGGGACAGGUGGAGCGCCCUAAACUGUUCACAUGAAUAGACUGAGCUGAUUAUAUAGUGGAGAUAACAUGAUAAAGGACACACAGGCCCUAAAGCGGUUUGUCCUUUAAUAUUGUAUUACAGUUACCCUGUUAAUCAGAGCUGUUAAUCAGAGAUGUUAGUCAGAGCUGUUAAUCAGAGCUGUAGGUCAGAGCUGUUAAUCAGAGCGGUUGGUCAGAGCUGUUAAUCAGAGCUGUAGGUCAGAGCUGUAGGUCAGAGCUGUUAAUCAGAGCGGUUGGUCAGAGCUGUUGGUCAGAGCUGUUGGUCAGAGCUGUAGGUCAGAGCUGUUAAUCAGAGCUGUAGGUCAGAGCUGUUGGUCAGAGCUGUUGGUCAGAGCUGUAGGUCAGAGCUGUAGGUCAGAGCUGUUGGUCAGAGCUGUUGGUCAGAGCUGUUGGUCAGAGCUGUAGGUCAGAGCUGUAGGUCAGAGCUGUAGGUCAGAGCUGUAGGUCAGAGCUGUUGGUCAGAGCUGUUGGUCAGAGCUGUUGGUCAGAGCUGUAGGUCAGAGCGGUUGGUCAGAGCUGUUAAUCAGAGCUGUAGGUCAGAGCUGUAGGUCAGAGCUGUUGGUCAGAGCUGUAGGUCAGAGCUGUAGGUCAGAGCUGUAGGUCAGAGCUGUAGGUCAGAGCUGUUGGUCAGAGCUGUAGGUCAGAGCUGUAGGUCAGAGCUGUUGGUCAGAGCUGUAGGUCAGAGCUGUAGGUCAGAGCUGUUGGUCAGAGCUGUUGGUCAGAGCUGUUGGUCAGAGCUGUAGGUCAGAGCUGUAGGUCAGAGCUGUAGGUCAGAGCUGUAGGUCAGAGCUGUAGGUCAGAGCUGUUGGUCAGAGCUCCAAAGACCAAUCUCCAUUUUGUCAGAACCGAAUGCACAAUACGGUUUGAUGGUCUUUAAUCACACUUCCAACAAAAUGUCCAGACAGUCAUGAUUAGAAUGGGUGGCAAUCUUUCAUUUACAACGACAAUAGAAAUACUGAAUUAACAGUUUUAUAUUGUCUAUAAUAUAAUACUCUCAAAACAACUACAAUUUAAAAAAUGGUUCAUUAAGACGGACUCAUCAACACUCAAUUCAUUCAGCGUCAUAGU